CCUAGGGGUGGCAGCAGUGAGGAAUAUUGGUCAAUGGCCGCAAGGCUGAACCAGCCAAGUCGCGUGAGGGAUGACGGUCCUAUGGAUUGUAAACCUCUUUUGUCAGGGAGCAAAGGGCGCCACGUGUGGCGCUUUGUGAGUACCUUAAGAAAAAGCAUCGGCUAACGCCGUGCCAGCAGCCGCGGUCAUACGGAGGAUGCGAGCGUUAUCCGGUUUUAUUGGGUUGAAGGGGUGUGCAGGCGGAAUGUCAAGUCGGCGGUAAAAUUUCGGGGCUCAACCCCGUCGUGCCGUUGAAACUGGCGUUCUUGAGUGAGCGAGAAGUAUGCGGAAUGCGUGGUGUAGCGGUGAAAUGCAUAGAUAUCAUACAGAACACCGAUUGCGAAGGCAGCUUACCAAUCUAUAUCUGACGUUGAGGCACGAAAGCGUGGGGAGCAAACAGGAUUAGAUACCCCAGUAGUC
rnacentral:rRNA from 1 species